rnacentral:rRNA from 1 species
AUUGAACGCUGGCGGCAUGCCUUACACAUGCAAGUCGAACGGCAGCGCGGGAGCAAUCCUGGCGGCGAGUGGCGAACGGGUGAGUAAUAUAUCGGAACGUGCCCAGUAGUGGGGGAUAGCCCGGCGAAAGCCGGAUUAAUACCGCAUGAGACCUGAGGGUGAAAGCGGGGGAUCGCAAGACCUCGCGCUAUUGGAGCGGCCGAUAUCAGAUUAGCUAGUUGGUGGGGUAAAGGCCUACCAAGGCAACGAUCUGUAGUUGGUCUGAGAGGACGACCAGCCACACUGGGACUGAGACACGGCCCAGACUCCUACGGGAGGCAGCAGUGGGGAAUUUUGGACAAUGGGCGCAAGCCUGAUCCAGCAAUGCCGCGUGCAGGAAGAGGGCCU